UAAAGCUUUUGUGAGAUUUAUUGUGCCGUGUUUGCAAUGCCAGAGGAAGACUCUGAACUCCCUGCAGCUUGGCCGUCUCUGCUUUUACCAAUCACCAGGGCAUUUAAAGGAUGGCUGACAACAAUUAGGACUCUUCGAUUCCAGGUAACUAAUACCCAACGUGUCCAAGUUUAAGCCCUAAGAAAAUGCAUAGACUUCUGUAUCUGAGAAGAAGCUGGAAAAAAAAAAAUCACAGAAUCAAAGCAUGUACUAAAGAAACUGGAGCCCUAGGAAUGGAAGUGAACUGACAGCGAGGAGAGAAAGCAGAAACUUCCUUUGGCUUUUUCAAAAUGCUGAUGAGGAGGAAGAAGGGGAAGAAUCAAGAGUGCUUCAACUUUUGCAUGGGAAUCCAACAUGUGACAAUGGAAGUUUUUAUCUAUUAACUAUUAUCUAUUAAUUUGGGGGAGACUUAGGAGGGCUAAUAUGUUUUGAAUCCCCAAUAGCUACCAAGCAUAAUAGCAGGCAUUUUACCCAAGGAAAAAGAACUAACAUUUACUAAGUGUCUGCUAGAUACUAGAAACCAGGCUACUUUUUAUAUGCACAUUUCAUUGAAUCCACUAAUCCUCAGAACAUAAAACCUUCUUUUUUGCAAAUGAAGAAAUAGUUUCCAAAGGUUUACAGAUGUAGCAAGUAAGUAGGGGAGGCAGGGAUUAAACAGGUCUGAACAACUCCCUAUUUUUUACUCUUUCAAAAAUACCAAGUUAGUACGACUAGGAAAGUAAAAAUCCUAUUAACAUCUAGGGGAUUGUGGAAAUGGCACUUCUUAGAGUUAUUAUAUUAUUAACAUAUUUUUCAAUGCAGUUUCUAUAUUGAAGGGAAUGUAAUAUGCAAAUAUUUUAAAGGUUCUUACAAGGAGUUAAAAAUACCAAACACGUGAAGAACGAUUCCAAUUAUUUUUGUUUUCAUUCCAAAAUUUCUCAGCAAACUUUGUUUUUUUUGUUUUGUUUUUUAUAUUAAGCUUAAGGUAAAUUUCGGAACAACCACUAUCAACAUUAUUUAAAUCUCUUAAUAGGUGGAGACUAAAGUUUUCAAGUUGUAUUGUAUCACUCUGGGUGAAAUAAGGAGUAUCAUUUUGUCAGAAUGGUUAUUGUCAGUUUUCGGAAUUGAUUUCAUAAUCACUAAUACUGGUCCUCUUACCUAAUCCCACUGCUUUAGAGAAUGGCUAGAGGCCUACCCAUUUCUCAUCCAGGUUUUUUUUUUUUUUUCAAAUCUCUCCUCUCUCACCUGAUCUCAUAGUUCUCUGCUGUUUUUAUCUGGUGACAUUCUCACUAUAUACAUUAGACUCUAGACAUUUUUUUUUAAUAUCAGUAUUAUUUGUCCUGAUAGAUUCUAAGCAUAUUGAGGGAAAUCACCAAAUUUCAUUAUUUUUUUACUAUCAUUUAAAAUACCCAUGAAUAGGCAAGUACCAAAAGAGAUACAUGACACAAUCAAGAACUGUGGAAUAGACUUAAGAUCAAGUUUAUAGAUUUGUGAUCAAAUUCUUUUAUAUCACUUACUUAGCUAUGUGAACUCAGGUGAAUUAAUUAACCCCCAUCUAUAAAAUGGAAACCCAAAAGCCUUAUAGGUUGUUUCAUGAAACUUUAUAAGGCUGUCCUUAUUUUCAAAGAAUAGCCAAGGGUUACUAGAAAUGUAUCACUAGUAUAUGUUGAAUAAGUUACUUACUCUUGUUAAGGUUCAGUUUUCUCAUUCACAAAAUGAAUAUGAAAAUAAUUGCUAUCUUGCAGGACUAUAAUGGAUAUUGAAUAAGGGGAUAUAACUCGAUUUUUUAGCAAAAUGUUUCCAUAAGUUGUCAACUAUUCAACAAUGCCCCCAAAUGACAAAUGGCAUUCCCUCUUCUUCACCUUCGGUCCACUUCCUCAACACCUGCAUGAGUUACUGACCCUGGCAGAAAUCUAGAACUCUAAGUAGAAGAAAAGAAGACAGACGAGUCCGCUAGAAGAAGAACAAAUAGAGUGGAGGACGGAGGGUCAGAGAGUUGAAUAAAUGCCCUUAUAUUGUUCAAUGAUAAGAAAUAUUCAUGUGAAAUCAUAUUUUCA